CCUACGUGAGGCAGCAGUGGGGAAUAUUGCACAAUGGGGGAAACCCUGAUGCAGCGACGCCGCGUGAGUGAAGAAGUAUUUCGGUAUGUAAAGCUCUAUCAGCAGGGAAGAAAAAAGACGGUACCUCGUAAGAAAGCCCCGGCAAACUACGUGCCAGCAGCCGCGGUAAUACGUAGGGGGCGAGCGUUGUCCGGAAUGACUGGGCGUAAAGGGAGUGUAGGCGGCAUAUUAAGUUAUGUGUGAAAGCCCGCGGCUCAACCGCGGAAUUGCACAUAAAACUGGUAAGCUGGAGUGCAGGAGAGGUAAGUGGAAGUCCCGGGGUAGCGGUGGAAUGCGUAGAUAUCGGGAGGAACACGAGAGGCGAAGGCGACUUACUGGACUGUAACUGACGCUGAGGCUCGAAAGCGUGGGGAGCAAACAGGAUUAGAUACCCCUGUAGUC
rnacentral:rRNA from 1 species